UACGAAGGGGGCUAGCGUUGCUCGGAAUCACUGGGCGUAAAGCGCACGUAGGCGGCUUUCUAAGUCAGGGGUGAAAUCCUGGAGCUCAACUCCAGAACUGCCUUUGAUACUGGGAAGCUCGAGUCCGGAAGAGGUGAGUGGAACUGCGAGUGUAGAGGUGAAAUUCGUAGAUAUUCGGAAGAACACCAGUGGCGAAGGCGGCUCACUGGCCCGGUACUGACGCUCAGGUGCGAAAGCGUGGGGAGCAAACAGG
rnacentral:rRNA from 1 species